GAGUUCCAUUAUACCAGCACUAAUGCACCGGGUUCCAUCAGAACUCUGAAGUUAAACGUGCUUGGGCGAGAGUAGUACUAAGAUGGGUGACCUCUUGGGAAUUCCUCGUGUUGCACCUC
rnacentral:rRNA from 1 species